AGAGUUUGAUCCUGGCUCAGUAUUGAACGCUGGCGGCAUGCCUUACACAUGCAAGUCGAACGGCAACGCGGGGCAACCUGGCGGCGAGUGGCGAACGGUGAGUAAUAUAUCGGAACAUACCUAGAGUGGGGGAUAACGUAGCGAAAGUUACGCUAAUACCGCAUACGCACUAAGGUGGAAAGUGGGGGAUUCGCAAGAACCUCAUGCUCAUGGAGUGGCCGAUAUCUGAUUAGCUAGUUGGUGAGGUAAAGGCUCACCAAGGCGACGAUCAGUAGCUGGUUUGAGAGAACGACCAGCCACACUGGAACUGAGACACGGUCCAGACUCCUACGGGAGGCAGCAGUGGGAAUUUUGGACAAUGGGGGCAACCCUGAUCCAGCAAUGCCGCGUGAGUGAAGAAGGCCUUCGGGUUGUAAAGCUCUUUUGUCAGGGAAGAAACGGUGAUUUCUAAUACAGAUUGCUAAUGACGGUACCUGAAGAAUAAGCACCGGCUAACUACGUG
rnacentral:rRNA from 1 species